GGCGGCGUGCCUAACACAUGCAAGUCGAACGGAGAUACGAUGUGAGCGAGAGGUGCUUGCACUGAUUAANCUUUUCGGUAUCUUAGUGGCGGACGGGUGAGUAACGCGUGGGUAAACCUGCCUUAUACCGGGGGAUAACACUUAGAAAUAGGUGCUAAUACCGCAUAAGCGCACGGUGUCGCAUGACACAGUGUGAAAAACUCCGGUGGUAUAAGAUGGACCCGCGUCUGAUUAGCCAGUUGGCAGGGUAACGGCCUACCAAAGCGACGAUCAGUAGCCGGCCUGAGAGGGUGAACGGCCACAUUGGGACUGAGACACGGCCCAAACUCCUACGGGAGGCAGCAGUGGGGAAUAUUGCACAAUGGGGGGAAACCCUGAUGCAGCGACGCCGCGUGAGUGAAGAAGUAUUUCGGUAUGUAAAGCUCUAUCAGCAAGGAAGAAGAAAUGACGGUACCUGACUAAGAAGCCCCGGCUAACUACGUG
rnacentral:rRNA from 1 species